ACAUGCAAGUCGAACGCAAUCUUUAGCCACUGAGUGCUUGCACUCAACAGUUAAAGUGCGAGUGGCGAACGGGUGAGUAACACGUGGGCAAUCUGCCCAAAAGUGGGGGAUAACACUUGGAAACAGGUGCUAAUACCGCAUCAACCGGCUGACCGCAUGGUCGGCCGGGCAAAGACGGCGUCAGCUGUCGCUUUUGGAUGAGCCCGCGGCGUAUUAACUAGUUGGUAAGGUAACGGCUUACCAAGGUGAUGAUACGUAGCCGAACUGAGAGGUUGAUCGGCCACAUUGGGACUGAGACACGGCCCAAACUCCUACGGGAGGCAGCAGUAGGGAAUCUUCCACAAUGGACGCAAGNCUGAUGGAGCAACGCCGCGUGUAUGAAGAAGGUCUUCGGAUCGUAAAAUACUGUUGUCAGAGAAGAACACGUGAUAGAGUAACUGCUAUGGCGCUGACGGUAUCUGACCAGCAAGUCACGGCUAACUAC
rnacentral:rRNA from 1 species